rnacentral:lncRNA from 1 species
UGUGGGGUUUCUAAUUGAGAACACUAUUCGACCUCUCUUUUACUGCAACCUGUUGUGCUCUUUGGAAAGAGCGAAAUUCGAGGAUCUUUCGUAAUCGACGAGUUACGCACGAAGAAAUGGGAAAAUCCAUCAUGGCUGAAGUAGAGUUCUGGAGAUCCACCUUGGGGGGGAUGAUUGAGUUUGGAUUGUGGGUUCAACUUAUGUAAUUUAUUUUUCUGUAGGUGCUGUUUUUACUCCUUGUUUCAGUACUAUACUCCACAAAUAAGGUAAAUCCCUGUUUAAUCAAAAAAAAAAAAAACUCAAAAA